ensembl:lncRNA
GUGAGAUGCUGCCCCUCUUUGCCUCUCCGCGCUCCUGGGCAGCGGUUCGCAGCUCUGUUUCUGCCGCUCUUGGCGCUUAAGUAAUCAAACUCUGCUCGGCUCCCCGAGUGAAAGGAGACAGAUCCCCCAUGCGCGCCGUGAGCGGCUCCGACAGCGCUGGGGAUUUAUCUCUGUUUAAGCCUGUCUCCCCCCGCUUCGAGCCGCGAGGGGAUCGUUUAUGGAGCUUAGUAAAGCGCGGUGAGAGCGGCCGGGCCGUUAACUGGUUGGCCCAGCAGCGGAGAGCGGAGCGCCGCCUGGGAGGUGCUUCACGGCCCGGGAACGGCUCCCUGAGCCCCUUUUUCCCAGGGUCGAGUGGGGCUCUCUCUGUAGAACAACUCCUGACCCAGAAAUACUCGUUGGUUGGUCUCUUGGCUUUAGCCCGUGAGCAGGAUCGGACGUGGAUCGUUUCCCGAGAAUUUUCGGUUAAAGCCAUUCAGCCAUCUUUCCGCCCGCCCGAGAUUUGGAUCGGACCGAGUUUGGAGGGCGGAGGGAAGGGCUUUCCGUUUGUACGAAGAGAGGUCUGGUUUUCACGGGAAAUAAAAUGCUCUGCUUAAGUCGCACGAGGAUUUGUAUUUAAGUACGUACGUUGUAGAUUCUGGAACCGGCGGUUAACGGGACUAACUCCACAUGUCGGUCUGUCGCAGAAAAGACCGGGUCCAGCAGCAGCCCCGACCUUCCCGCACCCUUCCACGCCCCGGGACCCCGCGGGUGCGGGAGCGGCGGGCUGCGGGCGCAC